rnacentral:rRNA from 1 species
UACGGGGGGGGGCAAGCGUUGUUCGGAAUUACUGGGCGUAAAGCGCACGUAGGCGGAUCAGUCAGUUAGGGGUGAAAGCCCAGGGCUCAACCCUGGAACUGCCUUUAAUACUGCUGGUCUGGAGGUCGAGAGAGGUGAGUGGAAUUCCGAGUGUAGAGGUGAAAUUCGUAGAUAUUCGGAGGAACACCAGUGGCGAAGGCGGCUCACUGGCUCGAUACUGACGCUGAGGUGCGAAAGCGUGGGGAGCAAACAGG